UCUCGCUCUUUACACCUACCCUGCUCCAUCCAUUGCCUUGACUUGCCAGUUGCUUUCCCCACCCCCAAGGCAAAGAAACAAGAAGCAGGAGAGUGCAAGAGGCUCAGGAUCUGAUCUUCUCAACAGCAGGAGAAAACCCUAGCCUGGCUUCACUCAGAAGAUGUCAUCUUGGAUUAGAAAAGAGAGAGAGAGCCACAACUUGGAUUGACAGAGUAUGGAGCCUGAAGGAGCCCAGGUCCCUGAGACACGGUGGAACAAAGCCACUAUACUACCUCAGGACUCUGUACAGCCCUGCUUUAUAUAGAGGAGAAGUAAACUUCUAUCUUUUUAAAGCCCCUAUUUGUUGAAUUGUAUUGUCACAGCCAUAUCCAAUCUUAAGGAAUAUACAAAGAUUAUGCCAUGGCUUUUGUAGCCCAAUUGGCUAUCUAGGCAAGUAAAAUAAUCUGAAUGAUG